AACGAACGCUGGCGGCAGGCUUAACACAUGCAAGUCGAGCGCCCCGCAAGGGGAGCGGCAGACGGGUGAGUAACGCGUGGGAAUCUACCCAUCUCUACGGAAUAACGCAUGGAAACGUGUGCUAAUACCGUAUACGUUCUUCGGGAGAAAGAUUUAUCGGAGAUGGAUGAGCCCGCGUUGGAUUGGCUAGUUGGUGGGGUAAAGGCCUACCAAGGCGACGAUCCAUAGCUGGUCUGAGAGGAGGAUCAGCCACACUGGGACUGAGACACGGCCCAGACUCCUACGGGAGGCAGCAGUGGGGAAUAUUGGACAAUGGGCGCAAGCCUGAUCCAGCCAUGCCGCGUGAGUGAUGAAGGCCCUAGGGUUGUAAAGCUCUUUCACCGGUGAAGAUAAUGACGGUAACCGGAGAAGAAGCCCCGGCUAACUUCGUGCCAGCAGCCGCGGUAAUAC
rnacentral:rRNA from 1 species